rfam:Danio rerio chromosome 4, GRCz11 reference primary assembly.
GCAUUGUUGGUUCAGUGGUAGAAUUCUCGUCUCCCACGCGGGAGACCCAGGUCCUAUUCCUGGCCAAUGCA